GUAGGGGAGUAGGAUGGGAAAAUAUAACCCCUUUGAAUUCUUUCGCCCUCGAGGGGUGGGGGAGUGCCAGGGCUUGCGCCUUGGUGAGGGCUUGGCUUUGGGGCAGGCAGGCACCUGGGUAGGCGAGGGCUGUGCCUCAACUUGCUCGGAGUCGCAAAGGUUCCCCGCCGAGGAGAGAUGUCAAAACCUGUUUGAAGCCUGAGCAUGUUAGCCUGAGCCCCCGGGGCAGGGGUGGGAGGAGACCGCACCGAGCCAACACAGGUACGGAAUCCUGCAUUUUGACCCGGUGCCACUCCCGGCUGGCUUACCCACGCAGCGGGAGGGUGAACCGGGCAGUGUGCUCACACGCGCUCUCAGGUCCCUGGUCCCGCUGUUGAGUCACCGCCACGUUUGCGAGUUAACCUUUGCCAAAGCCCUGGCUGUCGCUGCCAAGCACAUCUUGAGUGUGAAGCCCUUAGACACCCUACCUGGCUGGGCCUACCUGGCAGUAGGAGUUCAUCCCUCGGGAGGGUGGUCACCAGCCCUGCGCUGGCCCCGCCAUUGAGUGGAUAGGGGGUUGAAUCUUGAGUAAGAGAAUAUUUGGAUAUCAUCAUGCUUAUAUAAUUCUCUGGAAAAAUCUCUCAAAGGCACAGUCACCUAAUACAGAUGGAGAGAACCGUGUAGUAUUAUCCAGCCUUUAAUAUCUGCCAAAUGCUUUCCAUGAACCAUGUCAUUUACUCCUCUUAAUGAGAACUAUAAUAAUAUCUACUUUAAAGAUGGGGAAACUGGGACCCUAAGAUGUGACUUAUCUGAGAUGCCACGAUUUAUGGACGGUCAACCUAGGAUUCUAACCCAGAUGGGUUUGGUUGUAGAACCUAGUCUUUGUCAGCAUUAGGCCUGACUAGCUGCUCACAAGAAAGUUCCCAGAUUUUACUCAUUCUUAGGUUAAAUCUUGAAGUACUGUGAUCAGAUGGGCUAUAAAAUCCAAGCAACAAGAACCUCUAUCCUGGGCAACAUCUGACUCUUUUGUCAGGGACCUUUCUCACAGGGUCAUGUUCCAGGUGGUCAGAAUCCAGGAACCUUUUGCCCAAAUAGCACUCAACCCUCUUCCAGGAUCUUUGCACCUCCGAACUCACUUCUCCAAGAAAUGCCUCUGUGUUGGCAUAUGGACAGCUUUGGAGCUCUGGGCUGAAGCGUGCACUCCCAGGCAACUGGGGCCUCUGCUGAGCACAGGAAGAACAAUCGGUUGUGGGGAGCUUUUCCUUCCCUGGCACCUACCUUCCAGUCUAGACAGUGGAGAAGUCCAAGAAUUUACGAUUUACACUUGGACAUCUAGAUCCUUGUGAAAAGGAAUUUUUCAAGGUGGGAAAAUAAAUCUUACUUUGUUCAACAAUUAUCUUGACUUAUUUAAAUACUUAGAUUAAUGCUCUGUGGCCCUCUAUUUGUCUUGUUGCCCACACAUGUAGGUGUGGUUCUCAGUGUGAUACAGUAGAAAAUCUGUUGAACUUACCAGCCUGGCAACUAGUCUCAAAUAUCGGAUGUCAAUCAUAACCUGAGGCUUUGGGCAGGUCCCUUAAGCACUCCUGAUCUUCGUUUGCCUAAAUGUGAAAUGUUGAUAAGAAAAGCUGCACUACUCCCCCACCUACACAGGAACCUUGAAGAGAACCUAGUUGCCAAACCCUUCAUUUUACAUCAGAGAGCUGACAGAAUUAGAACCCUAGUGUCCUGGCUGCCCUUUUCAUGGUGCCACUGUUAGGGGGAAGUGAUGUCCUGAGUUAAUCCCAUACAGGAUUAACUUUGUGGACUCCACCCCCACUCCAGACUAAAGCCAUCAAGACUCUGGGAAAGACUGUAUCGGGGUUGCUCUACAACACCACCCUUUCAUCAGGAGUAAUAAUUAACAGAUAAUGGAUGGAAACUCGCUGUUAAAGCUGCAAUGCCCCACAAGUGCUUGGCAAUUACUACCCAGAUCGGGCACCUGAGACCACUUCAGGGCUUCAGCUUGUCACCAGAGGGUCUGAUUGAAUCUUGAUGACCUCUCUGGCACUAGAAAAAUGCCACGGUUUGAGUACAUUCAGUUAGAAAGUCUUCUACUGUCAUUUCCAGGUGCCCUCCCACAGAAAGAUUGGUACUGGGGCAUUGUGAUUGAAAAUGAACUCAUGAAAUUGCUGCUGCACACAUUUUUUGAGAAUAUAAUUGUAUGGAAUUAAAAGGAGUGAUCCUGGGAAACCAAUCAAAUAUUGGCAUGUUUUCAUGUAAGGUUGUAAAAUUUCCUAUCUUGAAUAGCACAUUUUCUAUAGGCUGACCCAAGAAUUAAUAUUCAGUGGCUGAGAGAUAGAAAUAACAUUCACAGAUACCACUGUGUCUCCUCUGGGUGAGCUGAAUAAUUGCAUAGGAACAAAAUAGUUUCGUUAUCCUCAGGUGACCCAGGCAGCCCUGUGGAGGGCAAUGUGACUAGGAACUUAGGUCCUUACUCCAACUGCUCUUCACAACUAAGUCUGCCAGUGACCAUACAACUGAAUUUGAAGUUAAUCUUUCAGCAGUCACAUGACAUUGCUACUGGGAACAACUUGACUGCAACCUCUUGAGGGACCUUGAGCCACAACCCCGCAGGGUGGUCCCCAAGAUACAGGAGGUUCUAGGUUCCCUGCCCCACCCAAGGGAGAGUGGAGCUGAGGAGGGAAGAAAAGAAGCUGGAGAGGAGACUGGAGAAGGAAGAGGGGUGGAGAGCCAGAAGGAGACCUGAAGGAGACACGAGGAGCAGAGAGACAUGCAAAGAAGCUGCACUUGUUUCUUGGUCCUGAACUGGUUGAAACUGAUGUAGGUGAAAGACCCGUAGGGAGGUUAACAAUGGCAGCUUUUAUCUGGAUUUUGCUGCUUCUGUCCCAGACGUGCUGGCCCCUUCUGCCCCUUCCCUGUGGGUUCCCACCAGGAGGUGCCUUCAACUUGUGACAGGCUUUCAGGCCUCAGGGGCCCUGCUUUGGGCCAACCCUGUUUGGCUGAACAUUUACCCACAAGGGGAUGGGUAACUACUUUGGGUGCUUGAUUUGAAAACUACAUUCUUUGUCUUUUCUUUGUUGCACACUAAUUAUAUUAAAGUUCCUUUCCAUUAAAGGUCUUACAGUUUUUGUCUUAAUGCAGCAGAUGGCAGGACCUAUUUAGAACGAGCAGGCUUGGGGGUUCUGGGGUGCUCCUCUCCCUGUAACACCAAUUUUCAUAGGCCAGAUAUUUGAGUUUAGUUUGCAGUUGAUGCUUGCUGUACUUGUGCUGUGUGGGCCAAUUAUAAGCAUCAAGUAACAGUCAAAAAGAGAAGCAAGUUAUUGAAGCCAAAGACAGGACUAGCUGAAAAGCUAGCAUGGGAAGGGAGUGGAUUGUUUCCUCUUUAAGUGAUCACUUUAUGAGUGUUUAGUUUUUCAUAUCGUAACUUUUUUUUUCCUUUUGUGACUUUAUAUCCUGGUCUGCCUGCAAGGGUCUUAAGUAGAACUCCCCUUAGGAAAAUAGCUCAUUCUCUGUUACCUAUCAAAAAGUGUCAUUAACUUAGCUGGCCCAAAAACCUCAGGCUGGGAACUACUAGAUUAUUGUAGUCUUUCUUUCUCUAGUAUUUUAUACAUUUGGUUAUAUUUUAUACAUUUGAUGUGAAAAUUGAGAAACUAUUUGCUGUAGAUCAUAUUGCUUAUUACUGUCUAAAACAGGUGUAGGAUCUGGGUUCCUAACUUUGAUUUUUUUUUUUUUACUUAAAGAAUUUUAUAGUUGCAACUGUAUAUGAUUUCAUAAAUCUAUGCCUUGUCAUUAAAUUCUAGAUAUUACUGAUUAGAAAAGGUCUUUGACUUCUGCCCAUUAAUCCUCCACAAAUUUUGAAAGAACCAAUGAUAAGUUUCAAGCAAGGAUAGUUGCUUGAAUAGUUAUUGUGGAUCACACAAUCGGAGAAGGGUGGCAACUGCCUUGAGUCACAUGUGUAGUCUGAGAGUAUCUGUGGUCCUGCUUUUAUGGGGCUGCUUAUUAGGAUGGGGUAGCAAGGAGCAGCAUCACAGUGUGUUUUAGGCUGGGCUAUGCUCAGGGAUGUGAGAUGGGUUACAUGAUUCUUCAUAUGUCACGUGUCUCAUUAGCAUCUUAAGUCUCCAAGCAGAGGUGUGCAUUAUAGCAUGAAUCCUCAGUCAUUUUUAGGUUAGGUUUUCUGCCACCUGUAUCUGUGCAGACAUCAAAUUUCAGUCAGUUCUGGAGACACUGCAUGAAAACAGGAGGCCUCUAUAGGGUGGAGGGUCUUUUUCUCACUCAUGGUUGGCUGACGUGGGGUUCUGUGGAAUCCCCAUUAGCCUGGGGCCUCAAUAACAGGAUGUUAGACAACCAAAGUCCUAAGUACAAAAGAUUCUGUAACAUAAGAUGUUACAAUUUGAUUAAAUAGAAAUGCUUUAUAUUGAAAAUAUAAUGGUCUCUUCAGGAAACCUCAUUAGUUGUAAAAGGGUAUCUUUAAAAAAUAUGCUAUGUUC